AUUGUUUGAGGUGGAAAAUUUCGUCUCCGUCCACACGCCGAUGGUUUGACAGGGAGCAAUCCCGAGAGAUGCAGGAGAAAGGGACGCCUGCCAAACAAC
ncrna:unclassified sequences skipping-rope RNA